CUGUCAAUUAGAUGCCUAUCUCUUCCGGUCAAUAAAAAAGAGAUCUCACGGCAUGGAGGGACACCCAAGCUCCAUAAUUCGGUCGCACGGAGUUGCUCCGUUUUUCAUGCUCGCCGGCCACCCAAGCUCCAUCUACUGGGUGCCAUAGCCGGUCUGCUGCCAUCUUCUUAGGUUGGUGAAGUUACAGUUGCUCAUACUACCAGAUAGCCUAAUCUUCAGGAUAAUUUUACUAUGGUAUAUAUUUAUACUCAGCUCAUCUAUCAUGUAAGUUACAUGGUAUAAAUUGGACUCUUUUACACAAACAAUCUCCCACGUUAACUUAACAUAUAUACAUUUUUUAGAUCCUAAUUUAAAGCAAAGUAAUUGUCUUAAUGUGGAAGUUUCAGCAUUUAAUUGUCUUAGUGUAGUUAUAUGGUGCAUGAAGUUGUUUUAGCUACAGUUUUAGUUCAGGUAUACCUAUUUUUAUAAUAUUCACUGUCAAUCGAUUAUUUGUGCCAGCAAGGUAAGGAGCUACUACAAAUUCUUUCAUAUUUAUCUGGCUUAAUUUAGGUGCUAUUUUAUUCACACACAUGUGCACAAGUAACAGAUGUCAAUCAAUGCUAAAUCACUCAGGUCACUGUGUAUAUGUGAUCCUGCCUCUUGAAUAAUCAGUGGAACACCAUUGUGAACGGCUCAAGGAGAAAGCUAAUGUAGUUGUCGCCUUGCAGGUACAAUUAAUGUCAAGUAAGGUGGGUGAGAAAAAUGCCGGUGCAGGACAAUUGAAGUGGAGGUGUGAUCGCUGCAUUGGGAUCAAUGAUUACUUAAGAGACAAAGGUUUGAUUUAGUUGCGGCAAUGGCAAGAGCAUAUUGUGCAGAGGAAGAGGAUGAACCUUAAUGCGUUGAACCUUGUAUACUAGAACCUUGCAGGUGUUUUUGCAGAAGUAUUCUGUUGUGUACAUGUAAAAUUAUUUUGAUGCGCCCUUGUUAGGCGUUGAACCUUAAUGCGUGUAGUCGGUGGA